UAACCUAGGGAGGCAGCAGUCGGGAAUAUUGCGCAAUGGAGGAAACUCUGACGCAGUGACGCCGCGUAUAGGAAGAAGGUUUUCGGAUUGUAAACUAUUGUCCACAGGGAAGAUAAAAGACUGUACCUGUGAAGAAAGCUCCGGCUAACUACGUGCCAGCAGCCGCGGUAAUACGUAGGGAGCAAGCGUUAUCCGGAAUUAUUGGGUGUAAAGGGUGCGUAGACGGGAUAACAAGUUAGUUGUGAAACCCCUCGGCUCAACUGAGGAACUGCAACUAAAACUAUUAUUCUUGAGUGCAGGAGAGG
rnacentral:rRNA from 1 species